rnacentral:rRNA from 1 species
AAUGAACGUUGGCGGCAUGGAUUAGGCAUGCAAGUCGAGCGAGAAGUGUAGCAAUACACGGAAAGCGGCGGAAGGGAGAGUAAUACGUGGGAAUCUGCCCUUAGACCUGGGAUAGCAGCGGGAAACUGCUGGUAAUACCAGAUAAUGUCUAUGGACCAAAGGUGUGAUUCCGGCUAGGGAUGAGCCCACGUCCUAUUAGCUAGUUGGUAGGGUAAUGGCCUACCAAGGCGAUGAUGGGGAGCGGGUGUGAGCGCAUGACCCGCCUCACUGGGGCUGAGACACUGCCCAGACACCGACGGGUGGCUGCGGUCGAGAAUCUUCGGCAAUGGGCGCAAGCCUGACCGAGCGAUGCCGCGUGCGGGAUGAAGGCCUUCGGGUUGUAAACCGCUGUCGAGGGGGAGCAACUUCCAUAGAGUUAUCUUUAUGGAUUGAGUGAUCCCUGGAGGAAGGACGGGCUAAGUUCGUGCCAGCAGCCGCAGUAAUAC